UACGUAGGGUCCGAGCGUUAUCCGGAAUCAUUGGGCGUAAAGGGUGCGUAGGUGGUUUGGUAAGUUAGGUGUGAAAGUCCCGGGCUUAACCUGGGGAUUGCGCCUAAUACUGCGAGGCUAGAGUGCUGUAGAGGGAAGUGGAAUUUCCGGUGUAGCGGUGAAAUGCGUAGAUAUCGGAAGGAACAUCGGUGGCGAAGGCGACUUUCUGGACAGACACUGACACUGAGGCACGAAAGCAUGGGGAGCAAACAGG
rnacentral:rRNA from 1 species